AGGGGGUACAUUGUGGAUAGUUAUGAAAGAGAGAAAAUCGUCCAUGAUAUGUUGACUUGCUGCUAUUGAAUACAGAUCGUCCCGUGAUAAAUUUGAUCGAUUAUUAACGUUUACAAAUACCUAAAGUUGGAUUACAAAAGUAGUUUGAAGUAUUUUGGCAAAGUUUAUAGGCAACUUUUUUAAUUUAAAAAAAUGACAUUGCGUUUUGGAAAGCUGUUUUUUUCUGGAUCAGACAGGCUUUAUAAAUGGACAUUUUGGGUACACAUGGACGGAAUUAAUCGAAAAAAAGAACCAAUUGUGAUGUUUAUGGGACAUAUUGGAGUGCCAACAAAGAAGCUCGUCAAAGAGGACCUGAGCCCUAGGACCAUGCCCCAGGACUACCUGACAUGAUGACUUCUUGCUGUCCCCAGUCCACCUGACCGUGCUGCUGCUCCAGUUUCAACUGUUCUGCCUUAUUAUUAUACGACCAUGCUGGUCAUUUAUGAACAUUUGAACAUCUUGGCCAUGUUCUGUUAUAAUCUCCACCCGGCACAGCCAGAAGAGGACUGGCCACCCCACAUAGCCUGGUUCCUCUCUAGGUUUCUUCCUAGGUUUUGGCCUUUCUAGGGAGUUUUUCCUAGCCACCGUGCUUCUACACCUGCAUUGCUUGCUGUUUGGGGUUUUAGGCUGGGUUUCUGUACAGCACUUUGAGAUAUCAGCUGAUGUACGAAGGGCUAUAUAAAUAAAUUUGAUUUGAUUUAUUCCUCAAUGCCAUCGGAGGAAUCCCAGAACAUAUUCCAGUCAGUGCUAGCAAAAGAGUCCUGUAGCUUAGCAUCUGCUUCAUCUGACCACUUUUUUAUUGAUCUAGUCACUGGUGCUUCCUGCUUGAAUUUUUUCUUGUAAGCAGAAAUCAGGAGGAUAGAAUUAUGGUCAGAUUUGCCAAAUAGAGGGCGAGGGAGAGCUUUGUAUGCGUCUCUGUGUGUGGAGUAUAGUUGGUCCAGAGUUAUUUUUCCUCUGGUUGCACAUUUAACAUGCUGAUAUAAAUUUGGUAAAAUGGAUUUAAGUUUCCCUGCAUUUAAAGUCCUCGGCUACUGGGAGCGCUGCCUCUGGGUGAGCGUUUCCUUGCUUGAUUAUGACGGAAUACAGCUCAUUCAAUGCUGUCUUAGUGCCAGCCUCUGACUGUGGUGGUAUGUUAUCAGCUACAUUAAUACAGAUGAAAACUCUCUCUGUAGAUAGCGUGGUCUACAGCUUAUCAUGAGAUACUCUACCUCAGGCGAGCAAUAGCUUGAGACUUCAUUAAAUAUCGUGCAGCUGUUGUUUACAAAAAUAUAAAUAGUCUGCCGCACCAUUUCUUACCAGACACCGCUGUUCUAUCCUCCUGGGACAUCGUAGAACCAGCCAGCUGUAUGUUGAUAUUGUCAUCAUUCAGCCACGACUCCGUGAAGCAAAAUAAUUGACAGUUUUUAAUGUCCCGUUGGCAGUUUAAUCUUCCGCCUAACUCGUCGAUUUUAUUCUCCAAAGAUUGCUUGUUUGCCAGUAGAAUUGAGGGUAUUGGGGGUUUAUUCGAUUGCCUACGAAUUCUCAGAAGGCAGCCCGCCCUUUGGCCCCUCUUUCUCCGCAUCCUCACAGAUCACGAGGAUCGGGGCCUGUUCCCGAGGAAGCGGUACAUCCUACGCACCGGGCUCAUCAGAUUCGUGAAAGGGAAAAAAAGGAUUCUGCUAGUCUGUUGAGAGAAAUCGCAGUCCUGAUGUCUAGAAAUUAUUUUCGGUCAUAAGAUAUGGUAGCGGCAACAUUAUGUACAAAAUAAGUCAAAAAAUAAGUUACAAACAACGCAAAUAAACGAACAAAAAAAACACAAUCGGCUGGGGACACGUAAAACAUGCACCUUUUUCUCCGGGGCCAUCAAACUCUUUACCUCCUCCAAGCUAAUCAGUUAGCUAAAGGCCCAGAGACUGAACACCUCCCUCUGCAACUGGAUCCUGGAACUUCCUGAUGGGCCACCCCAGGUGGUAAGGGUAGGCAACAACCCAUCCACCACGCUGACCCUCAACACAGGGGCCCCUCAGGGCUGCGUGCUUAGUCCCCUCCUGUACUCUGUUCACCCACGAGAUUUGGCAUGGGUACUCAGAUCCUCAAAAAUGUAUACAGCUGCACCAUCGAGAGCAUCCUAACUGGAUUGCCUCACCACUUGUAUGGCAACUGCUCAGCAUCCGACCGCAAUGGCGCUACAGAGGGUAGUGCGUAUGACACAGUACAUCAACUUCUACCCCCAAGCCAUAAGACUGCUGAACAGUUAAUCAAAUGGCCACCCAGACUAUUUGAAAUGAUCCCCCCCUUAUUUUAUUAUUAUCUAUAGUUUUUUUUGCACAGACUUUGUUGCGUAGGCUCAAUGUACACUCAGUGGACACACACACAAACAUGGACAAACACACAAAACACACACACACAUACAUUCACAUUCCUUCACACUCUUCUCACAACCAGAUUGGCCAGACGGAAGGCACUCCUCAGUAGAAGGCACAUGACAGCCCUCUUGGAGUUUGCCAAAAGUCACCUAAAGACUCUCAGACCAUGAGAAACAAGAUUCUCUGGUCUGAUGAAACCAAGAUUGAACUAUUUGUCCUGAAUAAUAAGCGUCACAUCUGGAGGAAACCUGGCACCAUCCCUACGGUGAAGAAUGGUGGUGGCAGUAUCAUGGUGGGGAUGUUUUUCAGCGGCAGAGACUGGGAGACUAGUCAGGAUCGAGGGAAAAGAUGAAUGGAGCAAGGUACAGAGAGAUCCUUGAUGAAAACCUGUUACAGAGCACUCAGGACCUCAGACGGGGGUGAAUGUUCACCUUCCAACAGGACAACAACCCUAAGCACUUGUCCCGAAGUGGCUUCGGGACAAGUUUCUGAAUGUCUUUGAGUAGCCCAGCCAGAGCACGGACCUGAACCCGGUCGAACAUCUCUGGAGAAACCUGAAAAUAGCUGUUUAGUAACACUCCCCAUCCUACCUGACAGAGCUCGAUAGUAUCUGCAGAGAAGAAUGGGAGAAACUCUGCUAAUACAAGCGUGCCAAGCUUGUAGCGUCAUAUCCAAUAAGACUUGAGGUUGUAAUGGCUUCAAAAGGUGCUUCACCUCAGGGUCUGAAUACUUAUGUAAAUGUGAUAUUUCCUUUUUUUUGUGUAGAUUGAUGAGGGAAAAAACAAUUCAUUACAUUUUAGAAUAAGGCUGUAAUGUAACAAAAAUUUGAAAAUGUCAAGGAGUCUGAAUUACUUU
ensembl:lncRNA